rnacentral:rRNA from 1 species
GAUGAACGCUGCCGGCGUGCGUAACACAUGCAAGUUGAACAGACGGUGCCAUGAAGUGGUAACCACGGAGUGGUAUACGGAGUAGCGGACGGGUGAGUAAAGCAUGAGAAUCUGUCCUGUCGAGGGGGAUAACGUUCGGCAACGGACCCUAAUACCCCAUAGUCCGAGAGGUUAAAGGCAGCGAUGCGCGGCAGUAGGAGCUCGUGUCCUAUCAGCUAGUUGGUGAGGUAACGGCUCACCAAGGCAACGACGGGUAGCCGGCUUGAGAGGGUGACCGGCCACACUGGAACUGAGAAACGGUCCAGACUCCUACGGGAGGCAGCAGUGGGGAAUAUUGGGCAAUGGGAGGAAUCCUGACCAAGCGACGCCGCGUGAACGAAGCACGGCCUUCGGGUUGUAAAGUUCUUUUAUGUGGAAGUAAUGAAGUGACGGUACC